GGAGUUGUGGCUCAGUGGUACAGUGCUCACCUAGCAUGUAUGAGGCACUGGGUUCAAUCCUCAGCACCA
rnacentral:tRNA from 1 species